AAAAUCUCUCUUUUCAUCAGCCUGUUCUGUUAUUGGGACCUUCACGUUGUUUAUACUGUUUUGAUUUAUUUGCAUGCUGAGAGAUUCAUGAGAAGUAUAGUUGACUUGAGAUUCACAAGACGUAUAGUUAGCUCAUAGAUACAAUUCCAACAACCAUCACGCAAUUCACUUCCAUGCAGGCCUCCAAACCAGUCAGCAGGGGGAAAAAUGGGAAGCAUGUUCAUGAGGAGCAUAAAUAAUGCAGCAGACACCUGAAGCUUUCAAGUGUAACAGGGGUGAAGGCAAGCACUGCUCAGAGCAACCAAUUCUCAUCUAACAAAAAAUGAUUCAGAGAUAAGUUGCAUAUAACACAGAGACAUGAUAAAAGAAAAUCCUUAGGUUUUCACAAAGAUCCAGAGAAAGUGUAAGGUCACCAGCACUGUACAUGUGAAGGGGAUUCGAAUGGAUAACAUCUCCUGCUCUAGAAAUGAUACUGUCAGGCCCCAUCUUUCUUAAAGCAGAUACAGUGUGCUAGCAGAUGUGGAAUAGAAGAUGUCAGGACAAAUGUGUAUGAGAGAUAGGCGCCAUGACCUUCCCAUGUUACUCUCCAUCUGCCACUAGUGUAUCAAAGGGGAAACUAUUGUCUCCACUUAGGUUAUUGUCUAAAGGACACAGACUGGCAGCUGUAUUCGAAGCAAUCAGAAAGGAAAGGUGUCAUUGUAAGACAAGCCAAAAUAGAGGAAGGAAGAAACAGGAUAGAAUCCUGUAGGUCUUCUUAUUCUUCAUACAGAAAAGGACAGAAUCCUGAAUGUCUCCUCUUCUUCAGGCAGAAGUGGAUAGAAUCCUGAAGGUCUUUUAUUACAGGAUAGAAUCCUGAAGGCUGUCUCUUCUUCAGGAAGAAAUGGGGCUGUUUAACAAGAACGGAAGGGCUUCUGAUCAAAUCAGAGCAGGGCAUCUAUCGGAAGAACCUUUGUGCCAACCAUGUCAAUACAUACCUCCUAGACACUGUUUGCAGCACUGUGACCGGGGAUGCCGUCUUGGAGCACUCGUCAACACACCUUUCUCCGGGGACCGUUUAACAAGAAUGGAAGAGCUUCUGAUCAAAUCAGAGCAGGGCAUCUAUCGGGCUGAACCUUUGUGCCAACCAUGUCAAUACAUACCUCCUAGACACUGUUUGCGGCACUGUGACCGGGGAUGCCGUCUUGGAGCACUCGUCAACACACCUUUCUCCGGGGGCCGUUUAACAAGAACGGAAGGGCUUCUGAUCAAAUCAGAGCAGGGCAUCUAUCGGGCUGAACCUUUGUGCCAACCAUGUCAAUACAUACCUCCUAGACACUGUUUGCGGCACUGUGACCGGGGAUGCCGUCUUGGAGCACUCAUCAACACACCUUUCUUCGGGGGCCGUUUAACAAGAACGGAAGGGCUUCUGAUCAAAUCAGAGCAGGGCAUCUAUCGGGCUGAACCUUUGUGCCAACCAUGUCAAUACAUACCUCCUAGACACUGUUUGCGGCACUGUGACCGGGGAUGCCGUCUUGGAGCACUCGUCAACACACCUUUCUCCGGGGGCCGUUUAACAAGAACGGAAGGGCUUCUGAUCAAAUCAGAGCAGGGCAUCUAUCGGGCUGAACCUUUGUGCCAACCAUGUCAAUACAUACCUCCUAGACACUGUUUGCGGCACUGUGACCGGGGAUGCCGUCUAGGAGCACUCGUCAACACACCUUUCUCCGGGGACCGUUUAACAAGAACGGAAGGGCUUCUGAUCAAAUCAGAGCAGGGCAUCUAUCGGGCUGAACCUUUGUGCCAACCAUGUCAAUACAUACCUCCUAGACACUGUUUGCGGCACUGUGACCGGGGAUGCCGUCUUGGAGCACUCAUCAACACACCUUUCUUCGGGGACCGUUUAACAAGAACGGAAGGGCUUCUGAUCAAAUCAGAGCAGGGCAUCUAUCGGGCUGAACCUUUGUGCCAACCAUGUCAAUACAUACCUCCUAGACACUGUUUGCGGCACUGUGACCGGGGAUGCCGUCUUGGAGCACUCAUCAACACACCUUUCUUCGGGGGCCGUUUAACAAGAACGGAAGGGCUUCUAAUCAAAUCAGAGCAGGGCAUCUAUCGAGCUGAACCUUUGUGCCAACCAUGUCAAUACAUACCUCCUAGACACUGUUUGCGGCACUGUGACUGGGGAUGCCGUCUUGGAGCACUCAUCAACACACCUUUCUUCGGGGACCGUUUAACAAGAACGGAAGGGCUUCUGAUCAAAUCAGAGCAGGGCAUCUAUCGGGCUGAACCUUUGUGCCAACCAUGUCAAUACAUACCUCCUAGACACUGUUUGCGGCACUGUGACCGGGGAUGCCGUCUUGGAGCACUCAUCAACACACCUUUCUUCGGGGACCGUUUAACAAGAACGGAAGGGCUUCUGAUCAAAUCAGAGCAGGGCAUCUAUCGGGCUGAACCUUUGUGCCAACCAUGUCAAUACAUACCUCCUAGACACUGUUUGCGGCACUGUGACCGGGGAUGCCGUCUUGGAGCACUCAUCAACACACCUUUCUUCGGAGAUCUGAGCUGCCUCUUGGACCCCACCACUUAAUACCUUUCAGGAGUCUCAAUGAAGAAACAAACUACUCUUAUGAGUGGACCCCAUUACUAUCAGUAGAUGGUCAAUACAAAACUAAGUCAAUGGAUCUACACAAGUUCUUCCUCUCAUAACGGUUCCUAUUCAGUGACUGAGGAAAAGCAAACUCUGAAGUUAAAGCUUCUACUGCUGCUACUACUGCUGCAAUCUGUUACCAUGACUCAGGUUCUUACAGCCCUAACAAAGCAAUUGGAAAUUAUUAGAGGCAAUUAAAAAUAAACAGUGGGUAAAAGCUAAGAAAGUAAAGACCAUAAGCACCAAAACUUACAUACAUUUUCUCCCAGGCAAGAAACUAGGGUCAUAAACUUCCUAGCUUCCCUCACCUUUAUAGUAAAUGUCACUCUCAUCAAAGGCUAUACCCUUUCGAAGCAAUGAAGCAAAAGAUAUUUUAUCUUACUGACAAAAGAUGAAUGACAUUUUAUACGGUAAAAUUUUAGAAAUCAAAUAGCAAAUAAUAAUGCUGAAACCAAACAUAACCUCUUUAUUGAAGAGUACUAUACUAUAAUCAUUAAAUCAAAUAUUUAAGGAAGGAUAAUUUUACAGUUAUAUUGACAAUCCAUCCCUAUCUUCACUAUGCCAAGUAUUUCCUUACCUAUAUUCAGCAAGUAAAAAUCCUUUUAUAAAAAAUAAUUUAUUUUACAUCCUGGCUGAAGUUGCCCCUCCCCCUCUUCUCCUCCCAGUCUCUUCCCCCUCAUCCCCUUCUGUUCUGACCCCUGAAUCCACUCCUCAUUUUCUGUUUAGGAAAGGACAGGUCUCCCACAACAAAACAGAAACAGCUGUAGUUGUAUUAACAAGACAAUAGUAUAUAAAAAUCUUUACUAUAAUCACUACAUAUUCUUCAAGGUACUUACUCAACAGUAAGAAACAAUAUAAAAUUCAAGUCAUCAUUUGAUGGAAUGGCUUCCAGAAGAUGAACUAUGAAGCACUAAACUUAAUAGACUAGAAACCUAUUCUGUGGCCUGCUCCAAGAGUUAUCAACACUUGUUUGCUUAAUGAUCUUGAAUUCUUUCCUUAAAAAAAAAUAAUUUGUCCUUAUAUGUAUUUAUGAGAAGUAAGGGGCUGGCAGACAUGUGGUGCUGAGAGGGUAAGCUGAAGGAGUUGGUUUACUCCUUCCACAGUGUGGUCCCAGACAUGAGGCCUGGCAGUAGGUUCCAUGUACCUGGAUGAGCCAGUAUGCCAAUCCAAGCACUAAUUCUUCAGUUUAUUAAGAAUAGGUAAGUAUGAAAGCACUAACAUAGAGCUUAUUUCUCAUUAAUUCAAUGAAAAUAUUAUGGUAUCUUCUUUGACCACUCAAGUAUAUUUAAUUUCUCUAAAGUGUUAGCAAAAUCAUAGAAAACAUGUAUGAUGAAUGAACAGUCUGUUAGGAGAACACAUGUUUGACGUACAGUGUUCUGUUUGAAAUGUUUAAUUGACAACUCUCUUCUCACUCCCCUACCUCCGUGUGUGUGUGUGUGUGGUGUGUGUGUGUGUGUGUGUGUGUAAAGCACUGCAAUCAGAAAUAAAAAGUUAUAAUCUGGAUAUUAAUGAACAAGUAAGUGAAGAAACCGUUUUAAGAAUCACUUGUACAUUCUAAUAUAUAUGUUUCUGAAACUGUUUGAGACAGGAUGUCACAUCAUAUAACACAGACUAGAAUGGAAAUCAAGAUGCUCCUUCCUUAACUUUCUAAGUACCUGGACAACGCCAUAAGACUCAUCUCAAAAACAAUCUUUAAAACAUACUAUUUUAUACUCUAAAAAGUACAAAACUGUUUCAUGUAAGAACAAAGCUGUCAUACAAUAAAUGAUUAGAUCUACACACCUAAUUAGAAUGAACAAAUACAAUUAUCAGAAUGAGAGCAGCAAUAUGAUUAAGCAUUUUUAACUCCUAAUUAAAAAUAUUCAAAUGAGUAAAGGAAAUAAAAAUUGGAGUGAUCUGCAAAACAAUAAAUUGCAAAAUAAAACACAUGAGCAAAAACAAGACUAAUACAUCCAUUAUGUACUAGAUUUUCCUACAGACAGCUGCAUUUAACCACAAUGGCUUACUAUACUUCAUUUACUAUUACUCUGUGAUAGCCCUCUAAGGCAGAAACAUGCAAAAUGGAACCAACACAGAUUCCAUAUUCAAUAUAUUGGUAGCAUUCACCUAUUUAUCCUUAUAUGAGCAAAUUCAUGAAAAAGGACUAGCAAUAUAGUUUGAGUAGCAAAGUUUCUGAUAUUUCUAUAGCUCUAUUGUGAAAUAACAUAAUAAACCUGUAUGUAACUCAAUUUUAUUUCAAUACCUCUUAAACAUAUUUCAAAUAAUAGUGAGUCUAAGCCCUUGGCAAUCUGAAAAUUUUAACUACCUCAUUAUUAAUGCUAAUUACUUACACUAAGCCAAAGAAAGAUUGGACAUCCAUGAUGAAAAAGUGGAAAAUUUUAAGAAGCUUCAAAAUAUAGGGCCAUUUUACAAAGCAUGGAUUGGUUCCCCAACCAAUAAAUAGCUCAGAUGGUACUGUUUAUAUUGCAUGUCACUAAAAGUCCAAAGACAGUCUCAGAUACCUUGCUGAAAACAAACAAACAUCAAGACCUAAGUACCUUGUGAGGAUAUCAAAUGCCUUAGAUACAGAAGGCAGAAUAUAGGAAGAAAAUGUUAUCUGCUACUUUUAAGACUGUCCCUGGAGUUUCAGAGCUCAUAACAGGAUUUACUACAAAUACAAUAUAAGUUAUAGACUUUGCGACCUAAUAAGCUAUUAUGUACAAUGGAAAUCAUUACAAGUUGAGAUUAACUCAUUCACAUAUCAACUUCUACAGUAUAAUCUGCUUCUGAUUAACAAUUACCAUAUCAAUAAAAGGUAAUAAAGUAACUAAUUUAAUAAUAACUCUCCUUCACCAGACCUUACCAAAAGAGAGGCUUUUACUAUACUGUGGUAUCUUUAGGUCACAAAAAGGCAAAAGAACAAAAUUAAUACAUUUAAAUCUCUGACACAGCUUUUAAUUGAGUAUUUUCAAUUGGAAAUACAAUCUCUUACCUUUAAAAUCAGGUUUAGCUCCUUUUCCGUCCUUGUUCAGUUUUACCUCUGAGUUGUUAGGUGUACCUUUUGAGUUCUCAAGGUAAGCUGAGCUUGCUCCUUUCUUGGAGGGAUGAGGAUCACAGAGUUUUCCA